ensembl:lncRNA
AUGUUUGUCAUGAUUCAGACAGACCUGCAGAGAUUCAGUCUGAUGAUCAACAGAGAGACACUCACAGAUGAGAUGAUAAAGCAUCAAGCUUUUAUUACAGCAGAAAACAGCAGAAAGCCCUUAAAGCUUCUCUUUUCUAUCAGUUUCUGGAGAAACCGAGCAUAAUGUGCUCUAAGACUGACUGAGAGACAGGACUUUUAUUCUGAGAGGAGCGAGAAUGGACAUGAAUCACAAAACUGAUGGAAAAAGAUCCCCUCUUUAGCUCUGCUUGUGUUUUAUCUUCUUAUUCAGUCAUUAGCUCACAGAAGCGGUGGUAAUGCACAAGACUUUAGCUGCCGAGAAAUGAAGAUGACAAAGAAGAAGAAAAACCAAGAUGAAGGAGGAGGAAAUGAUGAAGAACAAUACAAACAUAGUUUGAGUUUUUUGGAUUUGUAUUUGACAGGAUCAAAUUACAUUCUUCUCAUCUACCAAAAAUAACUUUAUUUCCGUUUGGAUUAUAUUUUUGUAUUUGUUUUUUGGAACUGUAUAUACAAAUUUGCACAGUUUUGAAGAACUACUUUUUUCACUUUGGGAAAUGAGUCCGUCUGUGUAUUUUUGUUUGAUCGGUUCUUCCUAACAUUGUGUUUUCAGAUGCAUUAGAAGCGUCUUAAACCGAGCCACUGCUCUGAAAACACUGAUAAUUAUAUAUCAGUUUAUACAAUCUGAGUGUGUGUGAAUGUAUUUGAUAUUUCUAAAUAGUUGUACAUGUUUUUUUUUUUUUCAGAAUUUGAUUGUUUACAGUAAUCACUAAUGUAAUCACUGUUAUUACUGUAGCUAUGUACUGUAUGUUAAACUUGAGGUUAAAACAAAACACGAAGGCAGCUUUAACUUGUCGUUGUAACAUAUAUGCUUUAUCUGUCUGUUUUCUUUAUUUGACUCAGUUUCUAGUUUGUUUCUUUGAUUGUUGAAUUAAUUAUUCCAUAUUCUGUAAGUCAUUUCACAUUUUUACAGCAAAGCACAAUACACAUGUAUGUAAUACUCGAGAUCUGCAAGCCAUUACUCCAUGAACAACCUUCAUAU